AGCAGCCGCGGUAAUUCCAGCUCCAAUAGCGUAUAUUAAAGUUGUUGCAGUUAAAAAGCUCGUAGUUGAAUUUCGGGAUCAAUAUGUCGGUCGUGCCUUCGGUACGUACUGGUAUCAUUGGUCUCUCCUUUCUGACGAACCAUGAUGUCAUUAAUUUGGUGUUAUGGGGAGUUAGGACUGUUACUUUGAAAAAAUUAGAGUGUUUAAAGCAGGCUUUAGCUUGAAUACAUUAGCAUGGAAUAAUGAAAUAGGACGUUCGAACCUAUUUUGUUGGUUUCUAGGAUCAACGUAAUGAUUAAUAGGGAUAGUUGGGGGCAUUAGUAUUCAAUUGUCAGAGGUGAAAUUCUUGGAUUUAUUGAAGACUAACUACUGCGAAAGCAUUUGCCAAGGAUGUUUUCAUUAAUCAAGAACGAAAGUUAGGGGAUCGAAGACGAUCAGAUACCGUCGUAG
rnacentral:rRNA from 2 species